rnacentral:lncRNA from 1 species
CACAGCUCCAAUUAAUUCAUGAGACGUCACUUACUCGGGGAGAAUAUGCACUCACCAAGCUGAAACAGGGUGCCGCUGCCCACCGCACGCGAAAGCAGGACUCAGAAAGGAGGAGGGAAGCAUGUGUUGUCCCCACCAGGGCCGCGUAUUUUCACAGCAAAAUCCAGUUAGGAGAUACAUGCAGACUGUCUUUUCUGAACAGAAUGCACUUACCCCAGCACGCAGCUCUCCCGGGGUCCACUUCCCUUAGCAGCUGAACAAAUUCUCAGGGAAAGCCCCUGACCACGGAGGAGCCUGCGCGAUCACUUUCAGUCACCGUUUCCAAUCUGUUUCCGAAAGGAGUUCUUCCCUAAAUGUGUGUUUUUCCACACAUACAAACCAAACCAAUCUUAGUGGGUUUAUUUUUGUAAAGGGAAGGGAGAACCUGUCACGUCGAAAUAGCUACAAAGCCCAUCGAAAACUUAGACACUGUGGGGUCUAGUUAAAACCUGUGUUUUAACUAAUAUCCCCAUGGUCAGGUAAUGAGAGCCAGGGCCAGCCUUCUGAGUUGCACAAAACCAGCUGCAGCUACCCCUGGUGAAUGAGAAUAGGCACUUCAGAGGACACAAAAAUCCAGGAGCUGGUAAGGAGCUCUUCUUGCACAUGGUCACUUUCAGGGUCAACUCGAGGGAAGAAAAUUCUGCAACGUUUAGAACUUGGAGAAACACUCUUGAUUCGAUGCGGUUCGGGUUGUGCAGACUGACGGAACUUCAUCUGUCCUUCAUUCAUUCCCUCUUUCAUCAAAUGUUUAUUGAGCACAUACUUUGCUGAAGGCCUGGUUCUGGGGCUCUUGGAGGAUGGAUCCAAAGCCUGCGGCCUGGAAUGAAACAUUCAAUGAAUUCCUUUUCUCUCUCUCUCUUCAGGUCUGUGUGCCAGGCCCAGUGUCAGGCUCUGCCUGGGUACCUUAUGAUUCCCACUCCCAGAAGCUUAGGGUGCAAAUCA